rnacentral:miRNA from 1 species
GAAAAAAAAAAAAAAAAACC